CAAUAGCGUAUAUUUAAGUUGUUGCAGUUAAAAAGCUCGUAGUUGGAUUUCGGUUAAGAGCGACCGGUCCGCCGUUUGGUGUGCACUGGUUGGUUUUAACUUCCUGUAGAGGACGUGCUCUGGGUUUAACGACCUGGACUCGGAGUCUACGUGGUUACUUUGAAAAAAUUAGAGUGUUCAAAGCGGGCUUACGCUUGAAUAUUUCAGCAUGGAAUAACACUAUAGGACUCCUGUCCUAUUUCGUUGGUCUCGGGACGGGAGUAAUGAUUAAGAGGAACAGUUGGGGCAUUCGUAUUUCAUUGUCAGAGGUGAAAUUCUUGGAUUUAUGAAAGACGAACUUCUGCGAAAGCAUUUGCCAAGGAUGUUUUCAUUAA
rnacentral:rRNA from 1 species